AUCUUGGACAAUGGGCGCAAGCCUGAUCCAGCCAUGCCGCGUGAGUGAUGAAGGCCUUAGGGUUGUAAAACUCUUUCGCCGAGGACGAUAAUGACGGUACUCGGAGAAGAAGCUCCGGCUAACUUCGUGCCAGCAGCCGCGGUAAUACGAAGGGGGCUAGCGUUGUUCGGAUUUACUGGGCGUAAAGCGCGUGUAGGCGGACUUGUAAGUUGGGGGUGAAAUCCCGAGGCUCAACCUCGGAACUGCCUCCAAAACUACAAGUCUGGAGCAAGAUAGAGGCAAGUGGAAUUGCGAGUGUAGAGGUGAAAUUCGUAGAUAUUCGCAGGAACACCAGUGGCGAAGGCGACUUGCUGGAUCUUUGCUGACGCUGAGACGCGAAAGCGUGGGGAGCAAAC
rnacentral:rRNA from 1 species